GAUGAACGCUAGCUACAGGCUUAACACAUGCAAGUCGAGGGGUAACGAGAGGGAAGCUUGCUUUCCUUGUCGACGACCGGCGCACGGGUGAGUAACGCGUAUCCAACCUGCCCCCAACUAGGGAAUAACCUUGCGAAAGUAAGACUAAUACCCUAUAAUUUCCUCAGAUGUCAUCUGACGAGGAAUAAAGAUUUAUCGGUUGUGGAUGGGGAUGCGUCUGAUUAGCUUGUUGGCGGGGUAACGGCCCACCAAGGCAACGAUCAGUAGGGGUUCUGAGAGGAAGGUCCCCCACAUUGGAACUGAGACACGGUCCAAACUCCUACGGGAGGCAGCAGUGAGGAAUAUUGGUCAAUGGGCGGAAGCUUGAACCAGCCAAGUAGCGUGCAGGAUGACGGCCCUAUGGGUUGUAAACUGCUUUUAUGCAGGAAUAAAGUUAGCCACGUGUGGUUAUUUGUAGGUACUGUAUGAAUAAGGACCGGCUGAUUCCGUGCCAGCCGCCGCAGUAA
rnacentral:rRNA from 1 species